rnacentral:rRNA from 1 species
GAUGAACGCUGGCGGCGUGCCUAACACAUGCAAGUCGAACGAAAUGCAGCCUUUAAAACCUUCGGGUCAAAGAGUGUAAUACUAGUUGCGGAACGGGGGGUUAAGACUGGGUCAACCUGGCUCUUCGGGGGGGUUAACAGUGAGAAAUUUCGUCUAAUACCGCAUAAGCACACGCUCCCGCAUGUCAGGGGGUGAAAAGAGAGGUGGUAUGAGAUGGACCCGCGUCUGAUUAGCCAGUUGGCAGGGUAAGGGCCUACCAAAGCGACGAUCAGUAGCCGAUCUGAGAGGAUGAACGGCCACAUUGGGACUGAGACACGGCCCAAACUCCUACGGGAGGCAGCAGUGGGGGAUAUUGCACAAUGGGGGGAACCCUGAUGCAGCGACGCCGCGUGAGUGAAGAAGUAUUUCGGUAUGUAAAGCUCUAUCAGCAGGGAAGAUAAUGACGGUACCUGAAUAAGAAGCCCCGGCUAACUACGUG